AAUCAACGCUGGCGGCGUGCCUAACACAUGCAAGUCGAGCGAGAAAGUGGGGGCAACUCCAUGAGUACAGCGGCGACCGGGUGAGUAACACGUGACUAACCUACCCUUGAGUGGGGAAUAACUCCGGGAAACCGGAGCUAAUACCGCAUAACACCGUAAGGUCAAAGGAGCAAUUCGCUUAAGGAGGGGGUCGCGGUUGAUUAGCUAGUUGGUGGGGUAAUGGCCCACCAAGGCGAUGAUCAAUAGCCGGCCUGAGAGGCGCACGGCCACACUGGAACUGAAACACGGUCCAGACUCCUACGGGAGGCAGCAGGUGGGAAUUUUGCGCAAGUGGGGAAACCCUGACGCAGCAACGCCGCGUGAAGGAUGAA
rnacentral:rRNA from 1 species